UGAGUUAUUGCCUUCUCUGGAGGACACUGGU
rnacentral:piRNA from 1 species